rnacentral:lncRNA from 1 species
ACAGUUAUAAGAGCUGUUAAGAGGAGUAAAUAUCCAGAAGUCAAUGUCAUGCUGGCUCAGCUCCUCAGGCAUGUCAAAGAAAUAUGCACAAGUUUGGUCCCAGCAUUUGGAUCACUGAAGAAAUGCCACAAGCUUUAAACAUAUAAUUGUUACUGCCAUAUUCGAGAAGGAAGACAGGAAAGAAAAUUAUGGCAAUUGUGGCAUGUUCAUUCUUUUAGCUUCAGUAACUUGGCCAAAAUGUUUCUAGAUGAUGUA